GUCACAGUGCAGCCCUGGACUGGACAGACCAUAGCUGUCUGCAGUGCAGGAAGCCAACUAUUAAGGGGAAACAAAAGUGUUCUUAGGAGUCCUGCUGUCACUGUGGAUUGAGCCGGUGAAGCCCUGAGGGAUUUCAUCGCUGAGGUGGAUGGAGAAGCAGCUGGGGGCCUUGGCUGUAAGGACCCCUAAGGGCCUGAUCUUUUGGCCAGAAGGAGAUUAAAAAGAUGCCCCUCAAGAUGGCUGUGCCUGUCAGCUGCAUGGAGCUUCGUUCAAGUAUUUUCUGAGCCUGAUGGAUUUACAGUGAUCUUCAGUGGUCUGGGGAAUAACGCUGGUGGAACCAUGCACUGGAAUGACACACGCCCGGCACAUUUCAGGAUACUAAAAGUGGUUUUAAGGGAGGCUGUGGCUGAAUGCCUCAUGGAUUCUUACAGCUUGGAUGUCCAUGGGGGACGAAGGACUGCAGCUGGCUGAGAGGGUUGAGAUCUCUGUUUACUUAGAUCUCUGCCAACUUCCUUUGGGUCUCCCUAUGGAAUGUAAGACCCCGACUCUUCCUGGUGAAGCAUCUGAUGCACGUUCCAUCCGGCGCUCAGCUGGGCUUGAGCUGACCAUACUCCCUGGAGCCUUCUCCCGAGGUGCGCGGGUGACCUUGGCACAUACAGCCAUCAUGAUGGUACUUUAAGUGGAGGCUGAAUCAUCUCCCCUUUGAGCUGCUUGGCACGUGGCUCCCUUGGUGUUCCCCUUUUACUGCCAGGACACUGAGAUUUGGAGAGAAUCCUGUUACACCUGGGAUUUAGGCACUUUCAAUCUGAAAAAAUACAUAUCCUUUCAGCACUCUGGACGGACUUGAGAACUGUCCUUACGUGACCUAAAGCUGGAGUAUUUUGAGAUUGGAGAAUUAAGAGUGUGGGCACCCUGGCUUCAAGCUCACGAGAAACCAGGUCGGGAUUUAAACAAUGUUGGGUUAAAGCAAAGUUUCAUAAAGACAGAAUCAAGAAAAAAAGAAAGAGAAA
rnacentral:lncRNA from 1 species